CAACUAUUCCCUCCAUUUCAAAUUACUUGUCGCAGGUAUGAAUGUAUCUAGAUGUAUUUUAGUUCUAGAUACAUUCAUACAACGAGUAAUUGGAAACGGAGGGAGUACUUC
rnacentral:pre_miRNA from 1 species